rnacentral:rRNA from 1 species
UACGGGGGGAGCAAGCGUUGUUCGGAUUUACUGGGCGUAAAGGGCGCGUAGGCGGUCAGCACAAGUCAGUUGUGAAAUCUCCGGGCUUAACUCGGAAAGGUCAACUGAUACUGUGCGACUAGAGUGCAGAAGGGGCAACUGGAAUUCUCGGUGUAGCGGUGAAAUGCGUAGAUAUCGACCGGAACUCCGGUGGCGAAGGCGAGGUGCUGGACCCUUUCUGACGCUGAGGCGCGAAAGCCAGGGGAGCAAACGGG